AAGGAGAGCAACACUUGAGGGAAAUAUCUACUCAAUAAAGACGGAGAUUCUUCUCAUCAACAGCUGAGGAAAAAUCCAGUUGCCAUAAAGGGUAAAAGAGACAUCCUCUUAAUAUGAAUGAAGAUGACCAGAGUUCAGCAGGUGCAUAGACUGGCGGCUGCCAGGGGAUAAGGAAGCAGUGGCAUUGGAAUUCAAGACUGUCUCUCUGACCUUCCUGAAUGACUCAGCAAUAUGAAGUUAAAAUCAGGUUCUUCUUUGGAAUUGGUGGCUGGCUGCUUGCUUAUGAGUGUAGACAUGUGACCCAAACACUCCUCCAUCACUGCUCUGUGGCCUCAGCUGUGAAGCUUUUCUGGAUAAGGGUCAAGGAUAUCCUCAUGACUAAAUGCCUUCCUCUUUUACUUUUGCCUUUUUACAUCUGUCUCCUCAUCGCCUGUUCACUCACUGAGACACCCGUAAGUGCCACUACAGAGAGGAGGAGAGAGCUGUGUGUGUGGAGGGUGUCUCCACACUGCCUGUGUGCAGUGUGUGCUGCAGAUGUACAGGAUUCGCUGAUCCCCAGAAGAGGACUGAAGAGAGACCAGAGCUGAGUGAGAAAUCGUAUUGUACUAACAAGCAGUCAUUGGGAAAUCAUUUCAAGACUUUGACAAUAAUUUCCCAGCAGUUGGUUGUCUAGAAAAGGGAAGGAAAAAAGGAGAGAAAGCAAUAGUAUUUUAUACUGAAUACUAAAUAAUUCCAUAUGACAAUGCAAAUCAAUUUUGAAUGCUAGAAACUUAGAAAUUAAAGCCCACUCAGCCAUUAGGUUGUCUGUCUUGAUCAAGAAGGCGUGGAGAGUCUCUGCCUCGGAAGGAAAUGUAGAAAAGGAAUUUGAAGGAGGGAGGCUUAAAAGAAGAGCAUUUUUCAGUUUGUUCCAAAUGAAAGCCACUGCAAGUCAGUUACACAGAGCUAAUGUAUCACUAAAAUGGGAUAAAGUAAACAAAAUGUUAGAUGAUGCCCUGGCAUUUAAUACUGUGGAAAUCAUCUUAUAUAAAGAUUAAAAGAAGGAGGCAUUAAAAUCCCAAAUAGCAUGACUUUAUGAAAUGGAUCACUUAGAAAUGUGGUUUGUGGUUUCAUUUUGUAUGACACAUUGGCAUAUAUACACAAAACAAAUUGCUUUGCGUAUUGUAACAUGCAUUUCCAAGAUCUCCUGCUUUUGGUGAGUGCUUUACAUAAGUGGUUUUUAUGUUUGCACCUUUACUGAUGGGAAUUCGUUUAUAACCUACUGCAGUGGACUUUUUGACUGUCCUUUUUGAUGAACUGCUUUUCAGUUCAUAUAAUUUUUUUGAGGCUUCUGUGUCGUUAAAGACUUCUUCAAAUGCUGCAUAUUAUAACAGAAAAUUGCACUGAGGAAGAAGGCUGGAGUCAAGGUUAGAUAAAGAAAAACAAAAUAUUUAUAUUUCUUUCUUCUAUAUUUUUUAAACCAAUUGAAAAUGGCCACUGGUUUAUUUUGUAAUAUUGUGAAGUUUGAGUUCAUAGGAAAAUUUACUGAGAAAAGUAAAUGGAAGUUUUCCACUUCUAAAAAAAAAAAUACAGUUUACUAAAAGAUAUACAUUGGCUAGCAGUUGAGAGGUUGGCAAGAUGUCAAGGCCAAAGUCAGAUUCGUAUUUCUUGCAUUGUCUGUCAAUCACUUUCUAGGAGUAAUGUAGCCAAAAAGGAGUCAUAUCCCUGCAUCUCAGUCUUACCACCAGGGGCAUGAGAGCUGCUUGGAAAGAAAUUAGAACACUUCCCUGCUUCCCGAUGGGCAUCAGGGGCAAGGAUCCCAGCUUUUGCAUAGGACCUCAACAUUCUUUUCUCCCACUGCUGAUUUCCUUUAUACCUCUGCUUCGGCUCAUUUCUGGAAAAGUAAAAGAAAAGACAUUCAAUGCAUAGCCACAGAAGCAUGAAAUGGCAUAUUGUGUUUAGGAGCUAUGUGGACUUGUGAAUUGCUGGAAUAGUAUUGCAGAAAAUGACAUUAAUAGUAGAAAAAAAAAAAAACCCCACAGAACUAGAAGCUAAACAAGCAAGCCAGAGAUGCAGUCAUGAAAGGCAUUGCUUAUCCAGGGGACAGCAGAUAAGAAUGAGCAAAGGCUGGCGCAGUGGCUCCCACCUGUAAUCCCAACACUUUGGGAGGCAGAGGUGGGUGGAUCACCUGAGGUCAGGAGUUUGAGACCAGUCUGACCAACAUGGCGAAAACUCAUCUAGUAAAAAUACAAAAAUUAGCCAGGCAUGGUGGCGCUGCCUGUAGUCCCACCUACUCGGGAAGCUGAGGCAGGAGGAUCGCUUGAACCUGGGAAGUGGAGGUUGCAGCGAGCUGAGAUCAUGCACUGCACUCCAGCCUGGCUGACAGAGAAAGACUCCAUCUCAAAAAAAAAAAAAAAAAAAAAAAGAAAAAGAAAAUUAGCAAAGUCGCCAUGAGAGCAGCAAGAGAUGGCAUCUGAACAGGAGGAAGAAUGUAAAACCCUAUACAGUGUGGGUAGAAAAGUGUUACGUCUAAUGUCUGAGGCCACUGAGUGUCCAGGAAGGUGGUUUCUCAGGGCUCAACAACUCCUGGAGGAACCAUGCUGCCACCCCACAGUACGGUGAUUGAAAUGCAGAGUGAUGAUCCUGAGUCAUCGAGGAAAGGGAAAAUUCUGUACAAUAAGCUAUGUUUAUGAAGUCAGGGAAGUGUGUAAUACAGUUUAGAAUGCCAUCAAACAAUGAAUAUCAGAAAAAUGUUUUUGGAUGCUUACAGAUAUGUCAAUUCAUAAAUGUAUGAAUCCUCUUAUUUUCUGACAUGGCCAGCUAUUUUAGGCAUUACUAUAGUCUAUGCUCUCUCUUCAUAUCCGUGUUAAAGUAGUUUUACCUCAUAGAGUUUAAGCUCCUCAUUGACAGAUACCUCACCUCAUACUCCUCACAUCACUAAAGCCAAUGCUGGAGAUGCUUUAGGUCAUCAAUAAAUCUUUUAUGAUUGUUUCUAGACCAGGAUCCUGUUCACCAGUUAUUGAAUCUGUAUUGCCUCCUGGUUCUUGCUGACUUGUUUAUGGGAUAUCUCAGAAUAGUCAUUUGAAACCUUCUACGAUUAUCUCACAAGGAAUAAAUUCAUUAACUGUCCUUUAUUUUGAAGAUUAAUUGGUUCCUAGGAAACUAACAGUGGAAAGAUGACAUUGUAUAGGGGAAAGAGAAAGAGUGUCAAUUUAGGACCUAGAGAGCUUUUGAUGCCAGCCACCCCUCGCUGGGGGAGCAGUUCUGGUGGGGAACCUUAGCCAAUAUGCAAUCGUUGUGAGCCUCACUUUCUCUUCAUGUAAAAAGACAAUAGAUACAAAGAAUCUUCAGAGAACUUAUAAAUAAGAGAUAUUAUUUUGGUAAAGCACAAAGCAUACAGUCUAGUACAAAGUAGGCAUUCAAUAAAGAGUAGCUAUUAAUAUUUUAAAACUAUGCUUAAGAACAUUAUGUUUUUAAUAACACACUUAAAAGGUAUAUGACAUGCUUUUGAGAAAAGGUGAAUGACAGUGAAAGUAGUUCACUAAAUAUGAACCCAUGGUAACCUAUUUUAUUUUUCUAUUUGCCCCUGAAGUGGAUACCAGUGGCAUUUCAAAUCACCUGAGGUCAACAUUUCCCUGUGAUAUCCUCAAAUAAGAUAAUAUAGAAUACACCUUAACUUUGUUUUGGGGAAUUUUUAGAUCUUUAAUUAUGACAAGCCCAAUGUAAAGUGAAGAAAGAAAGAGACAGAAGUAGCAGACCCACAAUUUAAAAUAUAACAAUGGAAACCAAUGGAGAAGUAGAUCUUUUGGAACACAGAAGAGCUGACAGAGACUGAAAGUUCUGCAAGGGAUGAUACUGAGCUACUGACUGUGAAUCAAUUCUCAGAACAUACAUUCUGUAACAGGAAACUUAUUUUAAACAUAUUUCUCAUUUUUAAUUCUUACUACAAAUUCAAAAUUUUGUGAUUAUAAUCAUUCUCUUGUUUUAAUCCCCCAUUUUCCUGUAGGAACACAGAGCACUGUUUGUGACCAAGAUUUAGCACCUUAUUUUCUUGCUGAUCUAUUCAGUAUAAAUGCAUUUUUAUGUCUGAAUUUCCAGAAGUGGUUUUCUUUCUUUCUUUCUUUUCUUUUCUUUUUUUUUUUUUUUGACAUUGAUGAUUAAGAAAUGGCAAAAUGACACCUGGGCUUCUUUUUCCUGGUCAAAAAGAGCAAAGUACAUAUUAGUAGUGACUGCCUAUUUUAAAAUCCCCUUUUUCUUUGUCUGUCGAGCUGUCUGUAAUCAUCAGAGUGGAAAAUAACUUUGAAAGCUCAAGCUCAGGGAAAAAGGGAGAUUUAGUACCUCAGUAUGGCAAAAGAAGUGGCAGUCAGGAGAGCUGCUUUUUUGAAACCAAUCCCUGACUCUCAACCCUUCUGACACUCGCUGUCCAGGUGAACCCAUAGCCAAAGCCAAGGACAUAUCAACAAUUUCGACUUGGUCUCUGGUCUCACUGGUCAACAGGCAAGAGCUACAAUAGAAUAUGUACUUGGACUCAGGCUCAGAAAUUACCAAACUGUCAUAACUGACCCAAAGAUGCUUCCUAGAGACAGGUUUCGCUGUGUUCACCAGGAUGGUCUCAAUUUCCUGACCUCAUGAUCUGCCCGCCUCGGCCUCCCAAAGUAUGUUUUUCUGUUUUUUAUUUUAUUGAUGUCUUUUGUUAAUGUUAUUUCAUUUCUUCUGCUUGCAUUGGGUUUAAUUUUGUUUUUCUAUUCUAGUUUCAGAAGCCGAAAGCUAAGAUGACUAAUUUUUUACUUUUCUUAUUUUUCAAAAUAGCAUUUAUUGCUGUACAUUUUCCUAUAAAAAUGAUUUAGCUAUAUCUCACAUGUUUUGGUAGGUUGGAUUGUCAUUUCAUUCAGUGCAGAAUGUAUUUUAAUUUUCCUUGAGGCUUUCUUUUUGACUUAUGAGAUUAUUUUUUGAUAGAUAUUGUUUAAUUUCCAAAUAUUGGAGAUUUUCCAGAUAUCUGUUGAUUCAUACUUUAAUUCCUUUAUCAAAUUAUAACAUACUUUGUAUUAUGUCUAGUCUUUUAAAAAUUUAAGGUUUUGUUUAUGGCCUAGAAUAUAGCCACAUUUGUGAAUGUUUCAUGCAUACUUGAAAAAAAUGAGUAUUGUGUUAUUUAUUGCCAAUAAGGUCAAGUUCAUUGUAACUGUUUGUUAGGUCUUUCAUAACCUUACUGAUUUACUUGUUCUAUCAUUCCCAGGAGACAGGUGUUGAAAUCUAUAAAUAUAAUUGUGGAUUUGCCCACCUCCUUUUUUAGUUAUAUUAGCUUUUGAUUAAUAUAUUAUAAAGCUCUGGUAUUAGGUAAAUGUAACAUUUAACAAGAUAUUAAUUCAAUAUAGGCUGGCACACAUGGGUUUCUCCAAAGAUGGUUAGAUAUAAUAAAUAUUUUUAAAGUUUUACUAUAUAAUUAUUUGAUCAUAUUCUGAAAAGUUGCAGGUCUGUAUCUUGCACCUCACCUUAAAUCAGAGAAAAGUUUAUGGACAAAACAGAAAUUAAAAGUCCUUCAAAGGAAAUCCCUUUUAAUAUUGCCACUUAAGGCAUUUAUUAUC
rnacentral:lncRNA from 1 species